rnacentral:rRNA from 1 species
GUGGAUCGGCGUGGAAACUGUGUGACUUGAGUACGGUAGGGGUAGAGGGAAUUCCCAGUGUAGCGGUGAAAUGCGUAGAUAUUGGGAAGAACACCGGUGGCGAAAGCGCUCUACUGGACCGUAACUGACACUGAGGGACGAAAGCUAAGGUAGCGAAAGGGAUUAGAUACCCCUGUAGUCUUAGCCGUAAACGAUGGAUACUAGGCGUUGUCUGUAUCGACCCGGACAGUGCCGAAGCUAACGCGUUAAGUAUCCCGCCUGGGGAGUACGCACGCAAGUGUGAAACUCAAAGGAAUUGACGGGGGCCCGCACAAGCGGUGGAGUAUGUGGUUUAAUUCGAUGCAACGCGAAGAACCUUACCAAGAUUUGACAUCCCGUGAAUCUUGCAGAGAUGCGAGAGUGCCUUCGGGAGCACGGAGACAGGUGGUGCAUGGCUGUCGUCAGCUCGUGUCGUGAGAUGUUGGGUUAAGUCCCGCAACGAGCGCAACCCUCGUCCUUAGUUGCCAGCAUUAAGUUGGGCACUCUAGGGAGACUGCCGGGGACAACUCGGAGGAAGGUGGGGAUGACGUCAAGUCAUCAUGCCCCUUACAUUUUGGGCUACACACGUACUACAAUGGUCGGGACAAAGGGCAGCAACCCCGCGAGGGCAAGCGAAUCUCAUCAAACCCGGCCUCAGUUCAGAUUGCAGGCUGCAACUCGCCUGCAUGAAGGAGGAAUCGCUAGUAAUCGCAGGUCAGCAUACUGCGGUGAAUCCGUUCCCGGGCCUUGUACACACCGCCCGUCACACCAUGGAAGCUGGCAACGCCCGAAGUCGUUACUCUAACCGNUCGCGGAGGAGGGCGCCGA